ACACGAAGUCAGGGAUGACAGGAGGGGUGGGUCAGAAGAAGUCAGAGACCCCAAGGAAACUGUUACUCAUGAAGUCAGAGAUGCCAGAUAGAGUGUUACACAUGAAUUCAGAACACAAGGGGGGGUACGACACAAAAUCCGUGAGGCAAGCAGGGGUGUGACACCCAAAGUAAUAGAUGCAAAGGUGACUGAUAUACUCUAGGUCAGAGACGCCAUGGGGAGUUUGAUACAGGAAAUCAGAGCAUCCAAGGUGAGUGUUACACACAUACUCAGAGAACAAUGUGGAUGGUUACACACAAAGUCUGAGAUGCCAGACGGUGUGUGACACACGAUGUCAGAAACAUCAGGGGUUGUGUUACACGGGGAUUCAGAGACACCAGGAAGUGGUUGACACACGAAGUCUGAGACACCCAUGAGGAGUGUUAUGAACAAAGUUAGAGACAAGAGGGGGAAUCCUAUACAUGAAGUCUGAGACAUCAGUUGGAGGGUAACACACGAAUUUAUAGAUGGCAGAGGGAAUGUGAUGCAAGAGCUCAGAGACACCAGAUGAAGUGUGACACAAGAAGUCAGAGACACCAUGGGGAUUCUGAUACGUGAUGUCAGGUGCACCAGGUGGAGUGUGACACAUGAAGUCAGAGAUGACAAGUGGAGGGUUACACACGAAUUCAUAAGCACCAAGAGGAGUUACACAUGAAGGUGCAGAUGCCACAUGGAGUGUUAAACACGAAAUAAGAGAGACCAGAUGUAGUGAUACAGACGAAGUCAGAUAUGCCAGGGCUAGUGUUACACACGAGCUCAGACACAUAAGGGGGAUUAUUAUAAACACAGUCUGAGACACAAAGGGGAGUGUGACACACUAAUUCACAAAUACCAGGGGUAGUAUUACACAGGUAGCCAGAGACACAAGGGUGUGUCUGACAGGUGAAUCCAGAGAUGCCAUGGGCAGUGUGACAUAUGAAGUCAGAAGUGCCAUGGUGAGUGUUACACUCAGAGUCAGAGAAGCCAGUGGGAGUCUGACACAAGAAUUCAGAGAUGCCAAUGUGAGUGUCAUAAAAGAAGUCUGAGACACCACAGAGGAGUGUUACACUCAAAGGCAGAUAGGCUGCAUGAAAUAUCACACGUGAAGUCAGAGAUAAAAGAUGGCGUGUACCACAGCAAGUCUGAGAUGCCAGGGGAACUGUGACAUACGAAGUCAGAGAGCCUAGAGGGAGUGUUACACACCAAAUGAGAGACUCUAGGUAUAAUGUGACCCAUGGAGUCAGAGAUGACAUGGGGAUUGCU
rnacentral:lncRNA from 1 species